rnacentral:rRNA from 1 species
UACGAAGGGUGCAAGCGUUAAUCGGAAUUACUGGGCGUAAAGGGUGCGUAGGCGGUUCGUUAAGUCUGUCGUGAAAUCCCCGGGCUCAACCUGGGAAUGGUGAUGGAUACUGGCGAGCUAGAGUGUGUCAGAGGAUGGUGGAAUUCCCGGUGUAGCGGUGAAAUGCGUAGAGAUCGGGAGGAACAUCAGUGGCGAAGGCGGCCAUCUGGGACAACACUGACGCUGAAGCACGAAAGCGUGGGGAGCAAACAGG